rnacentral:rRNA from 1 species
AUUGAACGCUGGCGGCAGGCCUAACACAUGCAAGUCGAACGAGUGGCGGACGGGUGAGUAAUGUCUGGGAAACUGCCCGACGGAGGGGGAUAACUACUGGAACCGGUAGCUAAUACCGCAUACCAGGGGAUGUGCCCAGAUGGGAUUAGCUAGUAGGUGGGGUAACGGCUCACCUAGGCGACGAUCCCUAGCUGGUCUGAGAGGAUGACCAGCCACACUGGAACUGAGACACGGCCCAGACUCCUACGGGAGGCAGCAGUGGGGAAUAUUGCACAAUGGGCGCAAGCCUGAUGCAGCCAUGCCGCGUGUAUGAAGAAGGCCUUAGGGUUGUAAAGUACUUUCAGCGAGGAGGCGUUACUCGCAGAAGAAGCACCGGCUAACUCCGUGCCAGCAGCCGCGGUAAUAC